GACUCGCUGUUGGCCUGGGUUCCAUUCAUCAGCUGGUAGGUGGGCUGAGUGGAACUAAAUUCAAUGAAUAUAGGAAAACGAGCAACUAAUGACAAGUGCAAGAAUCUAGAGCUAGUGGUCCCAACCUUUUUCAUCUGGCAGGCGCGAAAUGA